CUACAUAAACAAAUACAUGGGCGCAGACAUUUUGGACACCCAAAGUUGUGCGGAGGAGAAAAUACUACCUGGCGCGUGAUUGGUCAAUAAGAGAAAAGACUUGUUAUGUAUUUGACAAGUGAAAUAAAGUUGAUAAAAAUCUAAUAUCAAGACUUGGGUUUCUUUGAGAUAUGUAGGAGUUACAGGUAAAAAUUUGAAAGGAGGGGUGCCCUUUGGUUAGAGAUUUUCAUUUGGUGUCAAACGCACCUUGUUGUAAACAAAUGGAAAUUGAAAGUAAAAGUGCCGCGUGACGGUAUAUUUUUUCUGGCAUGUUUUGUUUUCCAAUAUCUUGAACUUUCACGACAAAAAGGCCAUUUGACGGAAAUUCAAUAUAUGUAUGAGUGACAGGGGCUCAAGUUUGUAUGGAAGUCUAUGGGAAAACAUUUAGUGGUGUUUGUCCUAUAGAAUAGCUAUGCAUUCUCAAGAAGGAGGAGAUUAAUGAACCCUCCCCUCUUACAUUGAACAAAACAUGGACACUCUCAAGAUGGUCCCUUUGCUUUCAUUAAGAGUUCCAAGAUGUGUGUCUGAUUGACUGGGGUGUGAAAUGUAACAGCCAAUGGUGUACUUAAGCUAGGACUGUCAGUCCCAAUAUUCAAGAGCUAUGCAUUCUCAAGAAGGAGGAGAUUAAUGAACCCUCCCCUCUUACAUUGAACAAAACAUGGACACUCUCAAGAUGGUCCCUUUGCUUUCAUUAAGAGUUCCAAGAUGUGUGUCUGAUUGACUGGGGUGUGAAAUGUAACAGCCAAUGGUGUACUUAAGCUAGGACUGUCAGUCCCAAUAUUCAAGAGGUGAGAUAAGCAAUGGAUAUGUGUUCUAAAUAUACUAAAUUGACCACUUUUUAUAAAUGUUUCUUUUACUCUAUAGGAAAAACCCCUACAUAAACAAAUACAUGGGCGCAGACAUUUUGGACACCCAAAGUUGUGCGGAGGAGAAAAUACUACCUGGCGCGUGAUUGGUCAAUAAGAGAAAAGACUUGUUAUGUAUUUGACAAGUGAAAUAAAGUUGAUAAAAAUCUAAUAUCAAGACUUGGGUUUCUUUGAGAUAUGUAGGAGUUACAGGUAAAAAUUUGAAAGGAGGGGUGCCCUUUGGUUAGAGAUUUUCAUUUGGUGUCAAACGCACCUUGUUGUAAACAAAUGGAAAUUGAAAGUAAAAGUGCCGCGUGACGGUAUAUUUUUUCUGGCAUGUUUUGUUUUCCAAUAUCUUGAACUUUCACGACAAAAAGGCCAUUUGACGGAAAUUCAAUAUA